GCAAAGUAAUCAAGGUCGUAAGAGAGCACUAUCUUUGAGAUGAUAUCUACUGCGGAGCUUCUAUCUGCAAAGUUUGCCAUUCUUCAGUUGCUCGUUUGAGCUCAUCUGCUUCAACGAUUCUUAUUGUUGAUACCAAUGUUGUUCUUCAUCAGAUUGACUUGCUUGAGAAUCCGGCGAUCGAUGAUGUGGUCGUAAUUUCGGUUGUGCUGGAAGAGGUGAAGAAUAAGAAUCUUUCAGUUUACAACAGAAUGAGGGCCAUUUGCAGCAAUUCUCUGCGGAAAUU